UUCUCAGACUGAUGGAGUGAGUGACGGAGUGGGUUGCCAACUGUAGUUGAUCCACUCAGCACAGAAUGGCUGCGGGGAAUAUAUUCAGACAUGCCCAGAGAAGUCUGCCCAGGGUGAAACAAAUACCUUUGAGGU
rfam:Camelus ferus unplaced genomic scaffold scaffold912, whole genome shotgun sequence.